rnacentral:rRNA from 1 species
CAACACAUGCACGUCGAGCGGUAGAGAGAAGCUUGCUUCUCUUGAGAGCGGCGGACGGGUGAGUAAUGCCUAGGAAUCUGCCUGGUAGUGGGGGAUAACGUUCGGAAACGGACGCUAAUACCGCAUACGUCCUACGGGAGAAAGCAGGGGACCUUCGGGCCUUGCGCUAUCAGAUGAGCCUAGGUCGGAUUAGCUAGUUGGUGAGGUAAUGGCUCACCAAGGCGACGAUCCGUAACUGGUCUGAGAGGAUGAUCAGUCACACUGGAACUGAGACACGGUCCAGACUCCUACGGGAGGCAGCAGUGGGGAAUAUUGGACAAUGGGCGAAAGCCUGAUCCAGCCAUGCCGCGUGUGUGAAGAAGGUCUUCGGAUUGUAAAGCACUUUAAGUUGGGAGGAAGGGUUGUAGAUUAAUACUCUGCAAUUUUGACGUUACCGACAGAAUAAGCACCGGCUAACUCUGUGCCAGCAGCCGCGGUAAUACAGAGGGUGCAAGCGUUAAUCGGAAUUACUGGGCGUAAAGCGCGCGUAGGUGGUUUGUUAAGUUGGAUGUGAAAUCCCCGGGCUCAACCUGGGAACUGCAUUCAAAACUGACUGACUAGAGUAUGGUAGAGGGUGGGGAAUUUCCUGUGUAGCGGCGAAAUGCGUAGAUAUAGGAAGGAACACCAGUGGCGAAGGCGACCACCUGGACUAAUACUGACACUGAGGUGCGAAAGCGUGCGGAG